ensembl:lncRNA
AUGACUCAGGCCUGGCCCUGCCCUUGGAGGGCACUGGGCCAGUGUGAGCUCAUCACCACUGCCCGGAGCAGAAGUGGUAAACAAGUUCACCCUCGGCCUCCCACCCCUGAGAGGAAGCAGAGGGUGAGGUGGGGGCCCCUCAGGCAGCUCAACCCAAGCCUUCUACACAAUGCAGGUGCAUGUCACGGGUGUCCCAGGGCCGGUGGGGUGUGUGCUGGGCUCCUGCCUGCGGGCAACACGCACAGGCAUAUGCGUCCCUUCACUCACACUCAUGGGGGUGCCCAUGGCCAACCUUUCCAGGGGCCAACUUCGCCAGGUUCAUGGGGACCAUUUUACCCCAUCCGUGAUGUCCAGGGCCAACAGCCCAACGCUCAUGAGGCUGGGCCUGAGGACUGGGGGGUCCCCAUGGAAUAACCCCUGGUUUGACCUGCUGGAUCCCAGAUUACCUGGUCGUCAGACCUCGCGGCUCAGACCCAUGUGCUAUGGGGUCCCUUAUGGCUUCUGGGACCCUAGAGAUGCCACAGAAAAAUAUUCUUGGCCUACCUAGGCUCGUGGCAACAUCUGAGAAGGUCCGAUCUUCUUAAGCAUCUUGCUUCUCCUGCCAUCUCCUGCCCUCCCUUCUUCUCUCUUGCCUUUCUCUGUCUUCCUCCUCUUCUUUUUCAUCCUCUUUCCUGAUCUUUCUCUCUAUCCCUUCUCUCCUCUCAACCCAGGUAACUGUUAUUGCUAUUUGUAACCACCAGAUGGCACCAGCGCAUCAUGUGUCCCCCCUCCUUGCUGGGGGUCUCCCCCACCAAGAUGAUUAACCUUUCACAACACCCACACCCUGUCCAACGCCUUCCCAGGACUUUACACCCAGAGGAAAACAUGCAGCAAAAUACCAGCAUGGCCAGGGUAGGGGCAGGAGCAUCCAGCUCCAUGGGAGAGCCUGUACCUGCCAUUCCCUUCAGGGUGCCCGCCCACUGAGGGUGUGAUAGCCUCUACUCCUGGCAAGCCAGUGAGGUCCUAGUGAUCAUCUCCAGAGAACAGAACUCAGAGAAGUGAAGCCACUUGCCGAAGGCAGGACAGCACAUGUGUAGUGCAAGGGAACUCAAACCUAAGCUUCACAGGUUCCAAAACUCUGGGCUUCCUGGGCGAGUGAGGCAGGAAGGGACUGGGGCAAGGAUCCCCAGAGCCAGAGCACUCUCUCCCACACCGAGUACCUAUUCCUACUGCCGUCCCUCUCAUGUCUCCCUGAUCUGCUUCUUUCAGGCCUGACUCAGAAUACUCUGCCCAUGGAGGUGCUCAUGAUGACCUCAGCCCUUGGGUCUUCUUAGAAUUUAGGCAUCUGAGGCCGGGCGCGGUGGCUCACGCCUGUAAUCCCAGCACUUUGGGAGGCCGAGGCGGGCGGAUCACAAGGUCAGGAGAUCGAGACCACGGUGAAACCCCGUCUCUACUAAAAAUACAAAAAUUAGCCGGUUGUGGGCGCCUGUAGUCCCAGCUACUCGGGAGGCUGAGGCAGGAGAAUGGCGUGAACCCGGGAGGCGGAGCUUGCAGUGAGCCGAGAUCGCACCACUGCACUCCAGCCUGGGCGACAGAGCGAGACUCCGUCUCAAAAAAAAAAAAAAAAAAAAAAA